rnacentral:ncRNA from 1 species
CCCGCUGAACCUAAGCAUAUCACAAAGCGGUGGAAAAUAAACUAACCGAGAUUUCACUAGUAACGGUGAGUGAAGAGGGAAUAGCCCAGCACGGAAGCCUGUGGUAGGUUAGCUGCUGGGCAAUGUGGUGUUUGGGUUGACUCGUGUGAUUGCCACUCCACUCGAAGUCCAGCAAUGAGUAUGGUUCACUGGAUUUGGACCAGAGAGGAUGAAAAGCCCGCGCGAGUAGAAGUUCAAACUUGUGAGGCAAUUCAACAGGUCGACCUUCGAUUCGGAUUGCUUGGGAAUGCAACCCAAAGUGGGUGGUCGUUAGUGGUCGUGGUUCGGUCGGUGGCUCCUCUGUAGUUUUCGGCUGAGCUUCGACCAUCGCAGGUGAAUUCAGUGAGUGGGUUGCGUAGGCAUUUGCAUGCACACGUGUUAUCGAGCACUGACCGUCAAGAUGUCUGUCUGUCUGUUGUGAUUUUGCAGUCGCCUGCAGACGUCCUAGUGGGCUUCUGUGGUAGGAAUAACUGAGCAGCGCAUGAGGUUGGUCGGUCUAUAGUUUUUUGGCUCGUGCGCACUCUGCAUGUGGGCGCGGGGUGUUGCUGUGGGCUGCCGAUUACUGGGUCUGUUCGUCGAGUUGUCUGCACGAAGUGGGUAUAGUGGUGGUCUGGUGUUGGUGGGUCUUACAUGCGGCGCCUUCUGUAAGAGACGUUGUUGGCCAAACAGUCUGUGGUGUUGCGGUAGACAAGCUACCCGAUCCAUCUGGAAACACGGACCAAGGAGUUUAUCAUGCAUGCGAGUCAAUUGAUCCGAAGAGUCCCAAAAUUGCAGUUAAGUCUCGCCUUUUUCUCGGGAUGUGGUUAGAUGCAACUGUUUAUCGUACCUCGCCUUGCGCGUACAGCACCAGGCACAAGAGCAGUGGUCACACCGCCGGCCCGUCCCCAGAUGCGGUCGUUUGAAAGGUGUGGAUCGUUUUGCGGUCUGCGUUGGAGCCGGCGCGUCAUCGAAACUAAGCCAGAGCGUGCACUUUAAGACCCAAAAGAUGGUGAACUAUGCUUGCGUAUGUUGAAGACAGAGGAAACUCUGGUGGAGACCCGCAGGUAUUCUGUCGUUAAAAUCGAUCGUCAAACGUGAGUAUAGGGGGUGAUAGACCAAUCGAAAAAUCUAGUGGCUAAUUCCCUCCGAAGUUUCACUCAGGAAAGCUGGCACUCAUUCGCAAGGUCAGUUUUAUCCGAUAAAAGUGAACGAUUAGAAGUACUUGGUUCGAAACGAGCUAAAACUAUUCUCAAACUUUAAAUGGGUGGAAUGUGAAGUUUCCCUCUAUAGGAGUCGGGCGCUGAAUGUGCCUGUGCCAAGUGGGCCAUUUGUGGUAAGCAGAACAAGUGCUGUGGGAUGAACCAAAUGCAUGGAUAAUGUGCUAAAAUUCGGACGCUCAUGAGAUUCCACAAAAGACGUGGGUUAAUAUAGACAUUAACGGUGGCCAUGGGCGUCGGUAUCCGCUAAGGUGUGUGUUAAAACUCACCUUCCCUAAUUGAUCAGCCGUGAAAAUGAAUGGCAUUGGAGCGUUGAACCUAUACCGGGCCAUCACCGCAAACUGGAUUGCUGGCUGUGUUUGGUGGUGCGAGCAGCACGUGGCCAGUUGCGUGAACAACAAUUGGUCGCUGACUUGCGAAGUCAGGAUCCAGGCGAGGAUGCGUAGGCAAGUAGGAGGGUCACCGUUGUGAGCGUGGAAGCUCGGAUAUGAGUUAACGUGGAGCCGCCACGGAUGCAGAUCUUGUUGGACGUAGCAAAUAUUCAAGUGAGAACCUUGACAGCCGAAGUCGAGAAGGGUUCCAUGGGAACAGUAGUUGGCCAUGGAUCAGUUGAUCCUAAGCCAUCUGACGUGUCGAUACAGAGACGUGGGGUGCCUUGCAUUAUUCUGUCUGUGUGUGUUUGCGCGUGCCGCCGGCAUCCCCCCGGAUCGAAAGGGGAUUGUGUUAAUAUUACCGACCCUGCCCAUGGAGAUAGGCAAAUGUUUGGCCCGGCCGUCAGUGUGUGAACUUUUUUUGGCGUAUAGAGGUGUGUUUCGUGUCUGGGCGCUGCUAAGCGUGGUAACGCAAACGAGCUUGGAGACANGGGAUUGUGUUAAUAUUACCGACCCUGCCCAUGGAGAUAGGCAAAUGUUUGGCCCGGCCGUCAGUGUGUGAACUUUUUUUGGCGUAUAGAGGUGUGUUUCGUGUCUGGGCGCUGCUAAGCGUGGUAACGCAAACGAGCUUGGAGACAUCGGCUGAAUUUCCGCGAAGAUUUUUCUUUUCUUUGUAAGGAUUACUCACCACCCCUGGAAUCAUGUUGUCCGGAGAUAGAGGUAUCGCCUUCGUAAAGCACCACCCCUUUUGUGGUGUCCGGAACACUCUGGUCGGUCCUUGAAAAUCCAAAGGAAGUUAUUAUGAUUUUCAUGGCUGGCCUUACUCAUAUCUGCACCAAGUAUCCAAGGAAAACAGCCUCUGGCA